rnacentral:rRNA from 1 species
GACGAACGCUGGCGGCGUGCUUAACACAUGCAAGUCGAGCGGAGCGGUGAACGGGUGAGUAACGCGUGAGUAACCGCCCCCCCCUCUGGGAUAACCGUUGGAAACGGCUGCUAAUACCGGAUAGUGGGGGAUGACUCGCGUCCUAUCAGCUUGUUGGUGGGGUAGUGGCCUACCAAGGCGACGACGGGUAGCCGGCCUGAGAGGGCGACCGGCCCCAGUUGGCUCGGAUACGGCGCAAACGCCUUCGGGCGGCAGCGGUGGGGGAUAUGGCGCCGGGGGGGAAACCCUGAUGCAGCAACGCCGCGGGCGGGAUGGCGGCCUUCGGGUAGGAAACCGCUUUCAGGCAUGAGGCGGUAGUGGCAGAAGAAGCACCGGCUAACUACGUGCAGGCGGCGGCGGAAAUC